AGUCUGCAACUCGACUACAUGAAGCUGGAAUCGCUAGUAAUCGCAAAUCAGCAUGUUGCGGUGAAUCCGUUCCCGGGUCUUGUACACACCGCCCGUCACACCAUGGGAGUUGGAAACGCCCGAAGUCAGUGACCGAACCGAAAGGGAGGAGCUGCCGAAGGCGGGUCGAAUAACUGGGGUGAAGUCGUAACAAGGUAUC
rnacentral:rRNA from 1 species